AACGAACGCUGGCGGCAUGCCUAACACAUGCAAGUCGAACGAGACCUCCGGGUUUGCGGGGUCCCGGGGGGGUAACCGGGGGGAACCCGCCUUAGGGUUCGGAAAAACACCCGGAAAGGGGUCUGAAAACCGGAUAAGACACUGGGACAAAAGCUUUAUCGCCUUUGGGUGGGCCCGCGUUGGUUUAGCUCGUUGGUAGGGUAAAAGCGUACCAGGGCGAGGACCCUUAGCUGGUCUGAGGGGAUGAUCAGCCACACUGGGACUGAGGCACGGCCCAGACUCCUACGGGAGGCAGCAGUGGGGAAUAUUGGACCAUGGGCGCCAGCCUGAUCAAGCAGUGCCGCGUGAGUGAUGAAGCCCUUAGGGUUGUAAAGCCCUUUUACCCGGGAUGAUAAUGACGGUACCGGGAGAAUAAGCUCCGGCUAACUCCGUG
rnacentral:rRNA from 1 species